rnacentral:rRNA from 1 species
GACGAACGCUGGCGGCGUGCUUAACACAUGCAAGUCGAACGGAAAGGCCUCUUUCGGGGGGUACUCGAGUGGCGAACGGGUGAGUAACACGUGAGUAACCUGCCCUUGACUUUGGGAUAACUUCAGGAAACUGGGGCUAAUACCGGAUAGGAGCUCCUGCUGCAUGGUGGGGGUUGGAAAGUUUCGGCGGUUGGGGAUGGACUCGCGGCUUAUCAGCUUGUUGGUGGGGUAGUGGCUUACCAAGGCGUUGACGGGUAGCCGGCCUGAGAGGGUGACCGGCCACAUUGGGACUGAGAUACGGCCCAGACUCCUACGGGAGGCAGCAGUGGGGAAUAUUGCACAAUGGGUGGAAGCCUGAUGCAGCAACGCCGUGUGCGGGAGGACGGCCUUCGGGUUGGAAACCGCUUUCGCUCAUGACGAAGCUUUGUGUGACGGUAGUGGGUAAAGAAGCACCGGCUAACUACGUG